UUUUACUAAAUACACGCCGCAUAGCAUUAAUUUUAGUUCAAAUCGGUUUAUACUGGUAUACAGCUAAAUAUUUUAGUAGAGUUGAAUGCGGCAGUUAAUGAGCCAUAAGUCACUCAUGAUUAUUUUUAAAUAUUUUGUUUCAAAUUUAUAAGAGCUUUUUUUUUUUUAAUUUAUACAUGCUUCAUGAAUACGCAUAAUCGUGGUUUGAAUGUUGCCUCCACCAAACCAAUUAAUUACAUAGACAAAAAAAUCGAGCCAGUCUCGAACAUGAACUGACUAUCAUAUACUGCAACGCACCCCUAACUAACCAGCGAAUGAUAUUUGUAACUACAACACUAACAAUGAAAUGUCUAGCUAUCAAUAACUAAAUAUCAUCAACUGAUUCUCACACCAAUAUGCCAAAAAUAACAUAAGAAGUCAGUGAUUGAAAUGCAUACACAACAGCUGACUCGUGUCUCAUUACCACCACCGAACUUAAAGACACCUUCGAAAACGAAAUCCUGCGAGACAAUGGCCAAUGACUAUCCAGAGGUGCAUGGCCCAUAAAAUGAAAAAAAUGGCGUAAAACGAAAAAUUGAGUAUCUUCAAAAAGUCAAAAGUCGUUGAACUCGUUAUUCACUUAUUCCCAAACAUAUAUAUUAUGUAUGUCAACGCCACCUUUGUUGUCCUAGCAGACAGACAUUCCCGUAAUGAAGAAUCACAAUUUUUUUCGUAUAUACAGUAAUCUCCGGUCGUGUGUGGCAAUGUCAAAAAUAUUUUAUGUUCAUGAAAUUUAAUUUUACAAU